GCCUGGGUGGCUCAGUCGGUAAAGCGGCUGACUUCGGCUCAGGUCAUGAUCUCACGGUCCGUGAGUUCGAGCCCCACGUCGGGCU
rnacentral:tRNA from 1 species